CUAAUAAACUAUUUAUGCACGCAUUUAACUUGCAAAAUAAAAAAGCUUCUCGAGUACGUACUGAGACCCAAUCGAUGGCCAAGAAAUGUGUGAAAAAAGUUGUAUUAACGGUGAUGAUGAAGUACUUGAUUAUCCUCGUCAUAGUAUUUACAGUGCAAGCGAAUGACCUUACUACCCCUCUUUCUCUCCACACCUCUUCACAUCCCAUCCGCCUUCUUCAUCCUUAUGAGUCACUGUAUGAUUGCCUCAAAACCAAACUUCGAUAUUCCAUGAUAACAUAUAAAUAUGGAAGCCUAAUGUUCGCCAAGUAUACUACACGUAGCUUCUUCUUAUGCAUGUAUAGCCACCGAAAAGAAACUGACGCUGAAAUUUAUGAUCUGGCUAAAAAGUGCAUAGAAGAAUGCUUCUCAAAAUUGACAGUUCCUGAUGUCCAUGCUGGAACUUGUUUGUUCGACUGCUUUGAUAGGAAGAUUAGGAUGAAUUGAGACGUAUUGAUCAACAUAUAGAGUCAAUGAGAGCCCCUCCAAGAUGUCGUCAAGAAGUGCAAGGAGGACAAAAUAAUUAGAACUAGGGGAUGGGUUGUUGAACAUCCUUUUACGUUCAAUAAGUGCAUUUUGUUGACACUAAAACAUUUUGAAUUAUAAUAUUUAUGAUGGACUACAAAUGUUUGUUAAGUUUAUUUUGGAAUUUAUGAAAACCUUUAUGCUUCCUAAGUUUUUAAAGAAAAUCUUUAUGAAUA